rnacentral:lncRNA from 1 species
UCACACUCAUGGGUGCACCCAGGCGGUAUCUGGCUGUCAGUUUUCUCACUGAAAAUUGAAACAAAAAGACCAGGUCUGUUAUGGUAGACUGAUAGGCAUUGGAAUUGUGACACAGCCGCAGUGUUGGCCAUAAUCCAAGGUCACCCUGCUGCCAGAAGCCUCUCCAUUCUCUCACCCUCAUCUGAGGUACCUGGGUUUGAGAAGAAGAUAUCUAGAAAUGUGCAAGAUAGGAUGAGUCACCCGUCCCUGUGGCUGAGCAGUCACCCUUCAAGAUCUUUGUCUCCGUGAGAAGAGUGCUCCAUAACUGCCAUCCCAGUGCUAGUGAUGACUGCAUGGGCCACCGAGGACUAAGCUUGCAUGCUGGGUUUGCCGACGAAAAGAGGAGCAUAGGAGUUCAAGAGAUGGUUCCCAGCACUUGUUUGUGGUCCUGAGAACAGCACUGUUUGACUUGGCCCAGCCCCCCUAGACCGGUGC